CCCUUAGAUGUUCUGGGCCGCACGCGUGCUACACUGAGUGGAUCAGCGGGUCAGGUUGCGCGAAAGCGUUUCCUAAUCUUUAAAUCCGCUCGUGAUGGGGAUUGACGGUUGCAAUUUUCUGUCAUGAACGAGGAAUACCUUGUAAGCGCGGGUCAUCAUCCCGCGCUGAAUACGUCCCUGCCCUUUGUACACACCGCCCGUCGCUCCUACCGAUUGAGUGGUCCGGUGAGGGCCUCGGAUUGGUCUCGGUCUGGCGUGCAAGCGCCGGCACCGUUGGCCGAGAAGACGCUCGAACUCGAUCGCUUGGAGAAAGUAAAAGUCGUAACA
rnacentral:rRNA from 1 species